rnacentral:rRNA from 1 species
CAAUAGCGUAUAUUAACGUUGUUGCAGUUAAAAAGCUCGUAGUUGGAUCUCUGGAGGGAGCGUCGGCCCGUAUUUACGAGUGCGUGACGUCUCUGUCCAUCCUUGCGGGAAGGCACGGCAUUGAUUUGUUGUGUCGGAUCGCAUCAUUUACUGUGAAAAAAUUAGAGUGUUCAAAGCAGGCUUUCGCUUGAAUACAUUAGCAUGGAAUAAUAAGAUAGGACUUUGGUGCUAUUUUGUUGGUUGAGCCUAAAGUAAUGAUUAAUAGGGAUAGUUGGGGGCACCUGUAUUGCGUUGUCAGAGGUGAAAUUCUUGGAUUUACGCAAGACAAACAGCUGCGAAAGCAUUUGCCAAGGAUGUUUUCAUUGA